rnacentral:rRNA from 1 species
CUUGGUCAUUUAGAGGAAGUAAAAGUCGUAACAAGGUCUCCGUUGGUGAACCAGCGGAGGGAUCAUUACCGAGUUAUCAAAACUCCAACCCUAUGUGAACCUACCUCUGUUUCCUCCGGCGUACCGCGCCAGCGCCUAUCCACAGGGCCUCCUUUAGGGGGGGCCCUGCUGGUAAGGUACCUGAGUGCCGCCUACCCUUUGGGGUAUGGCAGCGCGAUCAGGGUACCAACGUAGGCCUGCGCGGCGCCGAGUAGGACCUUCUCGAACUAUAGCACAGCGUGCAUCCAGCCCUUUUUUAGGGGCCUGAAUCACCUCAUAACCUAUAAACUAAAGUUUUUUAACUAAAUACUUUAAAACUUUCAACAACGGAUCUCUUGGUUCUGGCAUCGAUGAAGAACGCAGCGAAAUGCGAUAAGUAAUGUGAAUUGCAGAAUUCAGUGAAUCAUCGAAUCUUUGAACGCACAUUGCGCCCAUUAGUAUUCUAGUGGGCAUGCCUAUUCGAGCGUCAUUACAACCCUUAAGCCCUGUAGCUUAGCGUUGGGAGUCUACGCCCCCCAGGGGCGUAGUUCCUUAAAUUCAGUGGCGGAGUUAUAGCACACCCCAAGCGUAGUAGUUUAGCUCGCUUUCAGGGAGGCNGUAGCUGCCUGCCGUAAAAAACCCCCUAUAUUUAUAGUGGUUGACCUCGGAUUAGGUAGGAAUACCCGCUGAACUUAAGCAUAUCAAUAAGCGGAGGA